rnacentral:rRNA from 1 species
CCGUGUAGUGUGGGAACUGCACAGUCUCUGACCGAAAGACCCUACAGCGAGUUGUAAGAACAGCUGAAAAGAUCAUCGGAGUCCCUCUACUCACCAUCGACUCCAUACAUAAACUGCUAUUGUGGAGGACCCCUCUCACCGCGGGGUGGGGUUUUGGGUUGGCCCACCAGGUGCGCGUGGGGCGGCAGCACAGCACACCUCAACCUGCACAGCAGCCAAAUUGCGCCCUUCUUCUCUCCUCCCCAAGAGGAGGCAGUCAGGCCGUCAGACAGGCCGUCAAGUCUCUGUCUGUUCAUCCAUCCACUGGUCCGCCUUUCCCCUUCUCCAACCCAGGCCCUCUUGGUCUGGACCUCCCUUUCCGAGCCUCCUUCUGUUGGCUGAGGGUGCUACCUUAACCACCGGAUGUGUCCAUUCUAUUCCAUGCUUGCCAGCCAUGGCUUGCUGGGUUCCCCCCAUUAUGACCGUAAUCAGGGCAAGGACUGAAAACUACAGGAUGGGCCAUUGGACGAGUCUUACUGCUUAUUAGCCCAUUCCCCGUUGGGGGCACAUGCACAGUCUAGCAGCGUAAUCCCGGUUCAGCAUGCGUGACACCCUGGGCUGGUUGUUCGGUUGCUACCUGUUGGUCGGAGGGUGUUGAACAGUGGGAUCUCGUAAUGAUUAACGAACAAUAAUGCCAUGUGUUAACAUCAUUGGAUGAUGUGAGGGACAUGCCCCAUACAACUGAGAAUGGACCCGCAUGGUAAAUAAACCCAAAUGCUUUAUCAUCAAUUAGUGACACAUAUGAAUGGAUAAAUGAGAUUCCUACUGUCUAGUGAAACCACAGCCAAGGGAAUGGACUUGACGGAAUCAGCAGGAAAAGAAGACCCUGUUGAGCUUGAUUCUAGUGUGACACCGUGAAGAGUCAUGAGAGGUGUAGAAUAAAUGGGAGGGUCUGGCUGCUGGUGAAAUGCCAUUAGUCAUCAUUUCUUUUAUACUUACACAGUGAGGUGAGCCCCACAUGGGCUGUUGGUUCUGGCGUCCCAGUCCAUGGACAAUGCCAGGUGACUAGGGUAGUACAACUGGUAAAUGGUAUCGUAGGUGUCCUGUGGCAGCCUCAGGGAGGAUAGAAACUUCAAAUGGGUCAGAAGGCCAAAAGCUUGCUUAAUUUUGAUUUUCAGUAUGAAUACAGACCAUGAAAGUGAGGCCUCAUGAUCCUUCCGGCUUUUUCGAGUUUCAUGCAGGAGGUGUCAGAAAAAUUACCACAGGGAUAGCUGACUUGUGGCAGCCAAGCUUUCAUGGAGACAUCACUUUUUGAUCCUUCGUUGUCAGCGCUUCCUUUCGUUGUGAAGCAGAAUUCACCAAGCGUUCGAUUGCUCACCCACUAAUAGUGUGUGACCUAGGUUUUUAUUUUCAUGAGACAGGUUAGUUUUAUUCCAGUGAUGUUGCUGCUGUAGUAAUCGUGUUCAGUACAAUAGGAACCACAGGUUAAGAUGUUUAGUGCAUAUGCUUGGCUGAGAAGCCAGUGGUGCUACGCUACCAUCUGUGAGAUUAUGACUGAGCACGUCUAAGUCAGAAUCCUGCCUAGGUGCAAUGAUACCUAGUACUGAAGAUCCAUGGUUAUGCACAGAUAUCCAGCCCCCAUUGCAGGAGCCAAUGUUGGAGUGCCUCCCACAACUGAACCGGCACAUGGACAGGCGAGUGCCGCUCCUCUCCUGAUGACACACCAUAUUUUCGUAUGGAACUUGGUGCUAAAACCUUCGCAGAUGGCCUGAUUCUGGGUCAGGGUUUCAUAGGUAGCAGAGCAGCAGCCUCGCUGAAAUCUGUUGAAAGUCAGCCCUAUCUUCCAAUCUUUUUUUGGCCAGUGUUAG